UCGAGAGGAUUUUCCUCGCGUGGGCUAGAAACCCCACAAAACCCCGUUGGCCCAUUUGGUACAGGGGGUUCGCAUGGUCCGAUCCUCUCCGAUCCCCUUCGAUCAUCUCGAACCCACGCGAUUCAGAACCCUCGUCCAAGGGCUCAGGGAAGCAGCGUCCCAGCGCACGCCGCCGCCACCAAGGGGAAGAGCCCCGCCGCCGCCACCGAGGGGAGGAGCCCUGCCGGCGAGAGGAGGAGCCCCGACACCGCCGCACGACUCUGCCCGCCGCCCCGACUCUCCCCGGUGGUUCUCAUGCACCAAAAGAAGCAACAAUAAACAAGUUGGAUGAAUAAAUUUUUCUCAGGUUCUCAAUGCUAGAUGACCAUGACACCAAGAUGGAUACAUGUUUCUGCAUUAUCUUCGUUGCAAAAUGAUGUUGUGGCUGUGAUGAACUGUUUGCUGCGAAAGAUUAUGUUGUUAUGAUAAAUAAUGAAUGCUGGGAUUUGGGAUUCAAAGUCAUGUUGUUAUGAUAAAUUGUGUUAUUGCUGUGAUGAGAUAUUGAUUUCAAGUCAUGCAAAAUUAUGUUGUUGUUGGGAAAACUGCUGCUAAAUUAUGAGAUAUUGAUUUCAAGUCA